GGACAGCAGGGGGCAGCAGUUCCGCAGGUUGCUUUAUUUUCUGUAAAAUAAAGUGUAGACAGUCCGUAUGUCUCCAUCGGUCUGCCUUUAAAAACGGCUGCUGCUGACGUCAGAAGCACUUCCGGUUUAAAACAUAUUUACAAUAUUCCCUGGUUAUUAAUAUUGUCAAUAAACAACUCCAAUAAAAACAUCUGAAUACAAACAAUCAGUUUUUCCUCUAAAACUAUAAACAUGAAGGACGUAAGAAAUUCAUAAACAUCAGUAGAAAACAGGGUGAAAUAUGGCCUUAGUCUCUCUCACACACACACACACACACACACACACACACAGCAGGUUCAUGGAACCUUUUUGUUCGUGGUUCUGUCCACAUCCGGUUUGUUAAAGAACUGAGUUCUGUUAAAAAAUGGAUCAUUUUCAGGUCCGGUUCCGAUUCCCUCUAAGACCAGAAGUCUGCCGACUGAGCGGGAAAAAGACUGAAUCCUCCCAGGAACGUUCUCUGGUUCUGGUUCUGCUCCGAGUUUAACAUCAACAGAUGUUAUUCAAACUCAGCAACAAUAAGAGAAAAUGGGAUUUAUACAUUUUCACCAUGUUAUUCAGUUAGUUUCAAACUUCAUUUAGCAAGCUUGCCAAUUAUUUUCUUUCAUAUUAAGUAUUUAGUUAUCAAGCUAAAUAUCUGGCUCCAAAUUAAAUAUUUAUUUGAUAAAAUAUGUAGUUUUAAAGCUAACAUUUAGAUUGAAACUAAUAUAUUAAUUUUCCAAUAACUGGAAGUGGAUUACCAAAAGAAAAGCGUGGUUUUCCGAACCUCUCCAUCUUCGUUUCUUUUCCUGAACAUUUUAAACAAAAACAUGAGACGUUUUAAAGUCGGAGACAUUUACUGAUGGAUCUACAGCAGGUUCUGAAGGCCCAGAUUUUAAUUUGAUAGUCCACUUCCGCUAAUGUUUGUUAGCUAGCCCAGAGUUAAAUAUUUAGCUAGCGAAGAGCUAACUAUUUGAUUAGGAGCUAAAUAUUCAGUUUCUAUAUUCAGUUAAUUCAGAGCUAAAGUUUCCAAAUCAUUGCGGUUCAUUUCUGAGUGUCUAACUGAAGACGGCCCUUUGUCUCGGACCGGACUGGACCGGAACCCAUCCCGCUUCAAACGGCUCCAGGCGCACAGACGCUGGUCCAGAUCUGAGAAGGGUUAAAACUCUGAACAGUAACUGAGUUCUGGUACCGUUUCACUUUGUUCUGAUCAACAACCGAAUUUUAAGGGCUCAGGUUUGGUUCCGGUCCGUUUGAAGGAAGUAGAUCUGCAGCAGCCCGCUCUGACCUGCAGGGGGCAGCACUGCAGUUCUGGACCAGAUGUUUUCCACAUUCUGGACAGUCAGUCGGAACCAGUCACUGAUCCGUUCUGCCUCCAGAACCUCUAGCUGUGUUCCAUAAACAGGAACAUGGUGGAUCAACUUCCUGUUUGUAGCUGAACGGUUCUGAUAAAUAACUAAAAGAUCCAAAUUAAUCUGGACCCGGUUGGACUGGAGCCUCCAAGCAGAACCUUGCGGCUCAUCUUUCUGGAAUAUUACUGGGAAAAUCUGAUUUUCAUGAUUUUGUGGUGAAACAGCAAAACCAGGAAUCGGACCAGGCCGUGUCGGAUUCUUGGACAGAAGAACACGACUGCAGAGUUUAUUAGACUCUCAUAUUAGAAACUUUGUACACAUUUCAAAUCUUAAUAAAAUACAAACUUAUUUACAUGUUACAGAAAAAAUAUGGCUGAAAAACGGACGCAGCAGCAGGCAGGGGGCGUGGCUAAGCGCUGUCCAUCACAGUGAGUGGGCGGGGCUAAAGGGCUCAUCCCACCAAUCAGGAGACAUCUUGACUUCGGGCAAAAAUUAAAAUAUAAACAUUUAAAAUAUUUUUACUUUUGUCCUUCAAAGUGCAAAAAUCUAUUUUUCAUCUUUCUGUAAAAAUCAUUUCAGGGCUUUUCUGGUUCUGGUUGGACCCAGACCCAGAUCAGAGAGGAGGGGCUGCUGGAGGCAGCAGACACGGUCCAGUUCCGACCCGGUCCAGUCCAGACCCGGUCCGGUUCCGACCCGGUCCGGUCCAGACCCGUUCCAGUCCAGACCCGGUCCGGUUCCGGAGGCGUUUGUUCUCCCGGGUCAUGCAGCUUUGGACCUGCUGGGUUCUAGAGGACCACAGAGAUUCUGAUUACAUGAACUGGGCUGAUAUUUUUCAGGACCAGAUCCCCCUGAGUGAACUGGUUCUGAUCCGGUCUUCCCGUCCAGGUGGACCGAGUGUUCUGGGCUUUUCUUUGGACUUUGGCGGCUUCAGUGGAACUGUGGUGCAUUCAAGGUCUGCUUCAGAAAAUCUGGGUCCAGUGGGUCCAGAACCACAGACAUAUGGACCGGGUGGUUCCGGUUCUGCUUCCUGGUUUUACCAGGUUCAGGAUCUCCUCUGGAGUAACGAAGUAGGAAAGGUUCUGCAGGCGGACCGGAUCGGGUCUGAAGUGGUUCUCUGAGUGACUCACUGACCCACUGCGCAUCUGACAGAGCAGUACCGGUUCUGGUCCUGGUCCUGGUUCUGCUUCCGUGUAACAAAGAUCCUCACAGCGCAGCUGGUUUUUUUUUUUUUUUACAUUUCCUUUUCUGCAUCUUGGGCCCAGAUGGACCAGAACCAGAACCCAGAGAGUUUCCAGGUCUUCAGUCUAACCCUCCACGUGGAGGGAUGAGCGUCUGGACCCGGUGCGGCCCGGUUAUUUGAG